AGAGUUUGAUUAUGGCUCAGGAUGAACGCUAGCUACAGGCUUAACACAUGCAAGUCGAGGGGAAACGACAUCGAAAGCUUGCUUUUGAUGGGCGUCGACCGGCGCACGGGUGAGUAACGCGUAUCCAACCUGCCCACCACUUGGGGAUAACCUUGGCGAAAGUAAGACUAAUACCCAAUGACGUCUCUAGAAGACAUCUGAAAGAGAUUAAAGAUUUAUCGGUGAUGGAUGGGGAUGCGUCUGAUUAGCUUGUUGGCGGGGUAACGGCCACCAAGGCGACGAUCAGUAGGGGUUCUGGAGAGGAAGGUCCCCCACAUUGGACUGAGACACGGUCCAACUCCGUACGGAGGCA
rnacentral:rRNA from 1 species